UAAAAUUUGCCUGGAGCUCUCCAGGCAGCACCAAGCACAUGAGCUGCCUUCUUUCCUCAUGCCCAGCCUGUGUUUCCCUUACGCCUUGCCAUGGGGAUUUUUUUGUUUGUUUAAUAUCUUAUCCUGACAAAAGUGAAGCACCUCCACAAUAGGCUCCAAAUAAAUAAAUAAAACAAACAGGCACAUUCUCUUCCAGCCCCCCUCUGGCCAGGGAGGUGACAGUUUUUCAUGGCACUGCACAGGAGUGAUUCCCAGCAGUCAGUGAUGGAGCAGGAACAUUGGCUUUCUCUGGGCUCCAGUACUUUUCCAUCAGCAUUUGAGUCUUGCUGGAUUUUAAUGAUGGGUUACUGUAUUUGUGGGGUUCCCAGAUGAAGGGAGGAGUGAUGAAUCUGACUCUAUGUUCUCAGAAGGCUAAUUUAUUAUUGUAUUAUACUAUAUUAUAUUAAAGAAUACUAAACUAUACUAUACUAAAGAAUACAGAAAGGAUACAUACAGAAGGCUAAAAAGAUAAUAAUGAAACUUGUGACUCUCUCCAGAGCCCUGACACAGCUUGACCCUGACUGGCCAAUGAGUCAAAACAAUUCACAGCAGAAACCAAUUAAACAAUCAUCUGUUAGUAAACAAUCUCCAACCACAUUGCAAAUGAGCAAAACACAGGAGAAGCAAAUGAGAUAAGAAUUGUUUUCCUUUUUCUUCUGAGGCUUCUCAGCUUCCCAGGAGAAGAAUCCUGGGCAAAGGGAUUUUUCCAGAUAAUAUGACUGCCACAAUGGGUCAUGCUGCACCCAGUUGAAAUGGGUUUGAUACUGGUGUCUGUGUGGCCUUAAUCAGAUAAAUCACUAUAAGAAAAUUACAUUCAGCUUCUGGCCAGCCUAGGGCUGGUUUUGGGGGAGUUGCCAGGAUGGCUCAUCCAGAGACAGAUACAGGAGGUGGAGGAAGCAGCUCUUGGAGAGCCAGAAUUGGGUGGGGAGUCACCAGCUGUGCUGUGGUGAGGACACCCCCACCUGAUCCCAGCACUGGGAGAGGGGGAGGCUGUGGGGAAGGAGGAGGGACAUGCCCAGGGUAGGGAAAACUCCAAGGAUGGGUCCUGGGACUGUGUUUAACACCAGCCCCAGCACAAGCUGCCUGUGCCAAAGAAAUGACAACUGGCAGGGAGCUGAGGAGCAUUGCCAGUGUGGAGGAAGACAGAACAGCAUCCCAGGAAGAUCCCCAAGACAGCAGGGGCUGGGAGACACCCUUUGUGUUGAGAAGAUGCCAAAAAGGGAACUUCUUAUUCCUGUAGCCCCUGCUGCCAAAGCUCAGCCACACAAACCCAAUAAAAGACUCAAGAGUGUCCAAUUGCUUCAAGAGUUGAUGGUUUAAUAUCAGAAGCCCAACACUGACUGACUCCCUAAAAGCAGGGAGCUAAUUCAGUGGGCUAAAGGAAACAAGGACAGAAUCACAGAAUCAUUCAGAGUGGAAAAGACCUCCAAAAUUAUCCAGUCUCGCUAUCAACUCAGAGCCACCAAACUCACCCCUGAACCACGUCCCCAAGUGCCACAUUCAGACACCUCUUGAACACUUCCAGAGCUGGCAGCUCCACCACCCCCUGGGCAACUCAUUCCAAUGCCUGACCACUCUUCCUGGGAAAAACUUUUUUUCUUAUAUCUAAUCUGAACUUCACUGGACACAACUUGAAGCCAUUUCCUCCCAUUCUUUUGCUUGACAAUAAUUUUUUAUGUUUAAGAAAUGCCAUUCAUGUAAAGUCUCCUGGCAAGGAAGUCCCCAGAAAUAAAUCUAUAAACACUCA